rnacentral:sRNA from 1 species
UUGCUAUGUAAAAUCGGCAGGAUGAGAACCUGCAGCAGGUUCGGGUCGAGCUGUGCGAGACAACGUUGCCGCAGGCAACGGCCCGAAGGGCGAGGCGAAGCCGAGUCAUCCUGCACGACCCACCC